rnacentral:rRNA from 1 species
GCGUGCAGGAAGAAGGCCUUCGGGUUGUAAACUGCUUUUGUACGGAACGAAAAGGUCUUGGUUAAUACCUGGGGCUCAUGACGGUACCGUAAGAAUAAGCACCGGCUAACUACGUGCCAGCAGCCGCGGUAAUACGUAGGGUGCGAGCGUUAAUCGGAAUUACUGGGCGUAAAGCGUGCGCAGGCGGUUAUGUAAGACAGGUGUGAAAUCCCCGAGCUCAACUUGGGAAUUGCACUUGUGACUGCAUAACUAGAGUGCGGCAGAGGGGGAUGGAAUUCCGCGUGUAGCAGUGAAAUGCGU